GGGGUUGUAGUUUAAUGGUUAGAACGCUCACCUCCCAAGUGGGUAAUGCGAGUUCGAAUCCCGCCAGCUCCA
rfam:Clunio marinus genome assembly, contig: CLTMA_superscaffold_41B